AUUUCCUGGAUUAGUCCAGAAUAUUUCCUGGAUUAGUUUAGAAAUUCUUCAGUCCCCUCUAUCACUUAGGCUUCCUGUGGAUUAACUCGUUUUCUCUUUGAAAGUGUAAACAUCCCAUGGGCAGGGUCCAUCAGAGAACCUCGACAAGUGUUGCUCUGUGUACAACCUCCCGGGAGGGUGUCUGUACAGGUGAAAUCUGGCUGGGAUAAAUGUCAAGGACAUGUGUGGGGAAAGGAGAGGGAGGAAAGAAACCAACCCUUGCUGGUCCUUACUGUGUUCCUGCACUACACUUAGGGCUUUUUCAUGAGUUAACAAAGAGCUGCUGCUUAUCUCCAUUUUACAGAUGAGAAAACUGAGGCCCAGAAAGACUCAGUGAUUUGCCCAAGGUCACACAGCCAGUGUUGGAACCAGCAUUUACAUUCAGGCCUAUGUGAACUCAAGUUCAGAGCUUUUAUUUCUCCAGCAGGCCAAGGCACAAAAAAUUUUAAAAACAACUUGAGUCCCAUCUUCCUGUUGGCAUAGUGUCUGGCAGACAUCUUUUUGAUUCGUUCUGUCCAUCUGGAAACACUGUGGCUGACUCUGUGUUGGCAGCUCCCAGGCCCUUGGAGGGGAGGUUCAAAACUCACAUUUUUUUUUAACUUAAGAGAAUUCUGACAGAGUGAGACCCUAUCUC
rnacentral:lncRNA from 10 species